CUACGGGUUGCAGCAGUAGGGAAUAUUGGACAAUGGGCGAAAGCCUGAUCCAGCAACACCGCGUGCACGAUGACGGCCUUCGGGUUGUAAAGUGCUUUUAGAGGAGAUGAGAAAGGACAGUAUCCUCUGAAUAAGCCUCGGCGAACUACGUGCCAGCAGCCGCGGUAAAACGUAGGAGGCAAGCGUUAUCCGGAUUUAUUGUGCGUAAAGCGCGUGCAGGCGGUCUAGCAAGUUGGAUGUGAAAGCUCCCGGCUCAACUGGGAGAGGUCGUUCAAUACUGUUAGACUAGAGAAUAGGAGAGGGAGGUGGAAUUCCGGGUGUAGUGGUGAAAUGCGUAGAUAUCCGGAGGAACACCAGUGGCGAAAGCGGCCUCCUGGACUAUUUCUGACGCUAAGACGCGAAAGCUAGGGUAGCAAACGGGAUUAGAUACCCGAGUAGUC
rnacentral:rRNA from 1 species